AACAUGAAAAGUGUAAAAUCCUACCUCCACAAGGGUCCCAACUGAUAACUCCUCGUGCUCGUCGGGAUGGCCACCGGCGGCGGCGGCGCGAGUGAGAUGGCCGUCGGCGUCGGGGAGGAAAACCCGAGCGCUUCGACUAUCCCCAGCCGCAGAUUCUUCAUGGCGCUGCACGUUGGCGCCGGCUUCCACGCGCCGGCCAACGAGAAGGCGUACCGCCGGGCCAUGAAGCGCGCCUGCCUCGCCGCCGCGGCCGUCCUCCGCGAGGGCAGUGGCACAAGCCUUGAUGCAGUUGCAGCUGCCAUUCAGGUUUUGGAGGAUGAUCCCAUCACAAAUGCUGGUCGGGGUUCAAAUUUGACUGAGAGUGGUCAUGUGGAAUGUGAUGCAAGCAUCAUGGAUGGAAGUACUGGUUCUUUUGGAGCUGUUGGAGCUAUUCGAGGUGUAAAGAAUCCAAUCCAAGUCGCUUUGCACUUGGCAAAGGAACAGAUUACAGGAUCAUCAUUGCUUGGUCGGAUACCCCCCAUGUUUUUGGUUGGUGAAGGAGCAUAUAAAUGGGCAAAAUCUAAAGGAAUGGACCUACUUGAAUCUAUGUCAGAGGCUAAUAGUUGGUUGGUGACUGAGAUUGCAAGAGCGCAGUGGGUAAAAUACAUGUCAUUGCUUGUUAAUUCCAAGAAAUUAUUAGAGCUUAACACUGGUUCUGGUUCAGAACAUGAUACAGUACAGUUGGAAGUACCAGGUUACCUCCAUGUUUACUUGCUACCGAUCUUAUUCGAGUUGCAUUUUGAACUUUUACUAAUCUGUUCAAUUAUCUUUUGGAACUCAACUGAACUUGAAUGCUUCACUUUGUUACCUUAGCAUAAUGAUAUUGAGUAGUUUGAAAACUUGCCCCUACACUGUACUUCUAUUUUAUUACUACCAAAUGCUAUUCUAAUAGGUAUUUUAUUUUAUUCAUUUUCUCAUAAUUACAUUUUUGCCUCCAGCAUUAUUCGAUAAGUUCCACCUGAAAUAUAAAUUUGACUGGUUUGUUGUGAAGCAGCCAUGCAACACAGUUUUACUGCUAUCCACAAGGUCUAUUGAAAGAUUUUAUACUGCAUAUGUAAUUGUCACAAUAUCCAACAGAUACCAUCACAGCAAACCUUCUUGUAUUGUGUGGCUGAAGGAGGCAAGGAACAUAUAGGCAAAUGCAGUGGCACUGAAUCUGAGAAUAUUGCUGAUGUAAAGAUGUUCACACAGACACUCAUGGAAGACAAUCAAGACUGUGUAAUGGAUACAGUUGGUGUUAUUUGUGUAGAUAGCUAUGGAAAUGUAGCAUCAGGUGCAUCUAGUGGUGGUAUUGCCCUGAAGGUAGAUGGCCGGGUUGGGCUUGCAGCUAUGUAUGGCUCUGGGUGCUGGGCUUCUUCCAGGACCCUUUGGUACACAAUUCAUAGUUGCCUGUUGUGCCACUGGAGCUGGAGAACAUUUGAUUAGAGGAUUUGCUGCCCGUGAAUGUUGCAUCUCAUCAUCAUUGUAUU